GCUGCGCUUUCGACAGCGUAACGAAAAAAAAGCGAAAGUGAAAGUGAUCUACGAGUAUUCCUCGCAUUUGUCGGCGUUUUUCUCUGUAAAAGCCAAACUUUUGGUGUGGAAUUGCAACACACGUCAGCUGUACAUGAUUUCAGCAAUGCCACCAUUUCCAUUUUCUUCAUUUGUAUGUAUGGUGAUGAGGGUCUGGGCUCUGGUGUUGCCCACUGGUUCAAGGCUCAGGAGCUAGCGUUUAUCACCUACCAACGGAUCCAACACAACCACAGACCCGCUGCCUUUCCCUUCCAUUCCUUCUCCUUCUGCCCUGAAGAACCGCAGGAAAUAAGCAGACGUUUUUCAAGAGGGGAGAAAAUUUUAUUCUUCAUAUCAUGAUUAUUUUCACGUUUUUCAUGAUUACAACUAAUUGUAUUUUUAAUGGCACAUUUUGAGAGUGCAAAGUGCUUAAAAGUCCCAAAAAUAGGUCUAGAGAAGACAUAAUAACCAAUUCUGUUCCAGCAGCCCAAACUCCUAUCUGAAGCUAUGCGUUUUGGAAAUGAUAACCAUAGAGGAACUGUCUGUGGCUGACACUUCACGGAGAAAGAGAGAUGGUUUGCUCAUCCUUUGGCAAGUAUUCCACAUUGCAUAGUCAGCGCAAAAAUUCUGAUAUCCAUUUCCUUAUUUCCCACAAAAACAGGGUAGAGCAGCAGAAAUGAAAUAUCCUGAGACUACCAAGAUGGAUGACCCAAGUCUGUUUGUUUUGUUUGUUUGUUUUCUCUUCACUAUAUAGAAAUAAUAAUAGUGAUAAUAGACUGAACUAUUUCACUAUUAUUAUUAUUUUCUAUUUCACCAGUAUCUAUUCAGUGUCAGAUAAAUGGCAUUGGACCGUUACUAAAAAAAAACAUGUAUUUUAUAUAUACUUAUAUGCGUGGUGAAUUUUAAAUCCAAGUGAUUAGAGUUUGUGGUGCUAAGGCAGCUUACAUAUCAUCAUAACCUGGUCACAAAGAAAUACUCAUGUUCAGUGGUCCCAUGUAACAUGCCCCAGCAUUAACCUGAAUGAUGAUUAGGUGUAGUGAUGUACUUAAUUAGUCAUUCAGGUGACUUAAUUAACUGAAAGAUGUAAAAAUGUCAAGUUAAAACAAUACCUUUAAUGCAAGCGCUAACAAAAGGGGGGAGGGGACGGAGUGAAACCACCAUCAUGUGACCUUUUGACUGUAGUCUUCCCCUACGCAAGCCAUGAAUACAGUCCGAUGCUAUAUUCAGAGAGAGUGUGUUUCAUUGUGACAAAGUGUAUUCUGUUCUAUUUUCACCAUUACAUUAUACUGUGAUUGAUAUGGCUGCAAAGGAUUUUCUAACAUGCUUCUUAAGUAUACAAGAUUUUAUAGCAUACAAUAUUACUAGCAUAUCCCAGCAGUCACUGGGCGGCAGGCGGGGUGACACCCUGGACAGGCCGCCAGACCAUGACAGGGCACACUUCUAUAUUAAAGUGCUGGGAUAGGCUCCAGCAUCCCUGCGGUUCUGAGAGCAGGAUAAGCGGUUUGGAUAAUGGAUGGAUGGAUGGACAAUAUUACUAUGUGCAUCAUCAUAUCAUCUUCAUUUUGAUUAAGAUGCAGUGCAAUGUAUUUAUUGUUGUAAUGUGUAACCCCAAGCUGUUGUAAUCAGUUCAUUGUACUUCAAUAUUUGGUCUUAACUACUGUCAUUAACUACUUUGUAUGUUUGUGACUUUUUUACAAUACAUGUGAAUUUAAUUUUGCGUCAACUGUGAUUACAUUGUUAAUUGUUGAAUGAAAAAUAAAUAUAAAAG